CUACUUCUCUCGCUUUCGCUUUAUCACCUCUCGUCGCCACCAACACUCCAACAGUCGCUUCACCGUCGGCGCCGUCGGAGGGACGCUCCAGUUGGCUGCCCCCGGCAGCGGAAAGUUUCCUGCGGCCCCUGCUCUCUUUCACCACCGCGGUGGAUGAAGACUGGCAAUUAUUGGCCUGCGCUGCGGUCUCGACGCCGUGCAGAGGUAGCUGCAGCUUUGCUCAUUGGGUUUGUUGCUUGCUUUUGUCCAGAGACUAGGGCAGGACAGGACUGUGUUAAGGCAGGCGGCCGCGUUAUUGCCUGUGCUUCUGUUGUUACCUUGUGCUAUGCUAUAUGCUAAUCAUUUGGCAGGCGUCAUGUGGUUUCGUGAUCCACGCGGGGAUGGGAGGAGCCGCAUGAGAUGCUGAGUGAUUGGACGGUUAGUUGGCCUCCUCACGUGGCGCGUCUCUGCACCUUUGUCUCUCUGGCUGACUGACUGGCUCUGCUUUCGCCUGCGCCUGGGCAUAUCGUGGAACCCUGAUUGGCCUAGCUCGAUACGGCCGCAGCUAUCAUGUGGUGUUUGUUUCAGCUUAUUUUCAGCUUCUGGCAGCUGUGGAACAUUUAGCUUUUUAACUCGUUUUUGUGAGAA